UUCCAGACUCCUACGGGAGGCAGCAGUGGGGAAUAUUGCACAAUGGGGGGAUCCCUGAUGCAGCGACGCCGCGUGGGUGAAGAAGUCAUUCGUGACGUAAAGCCCUAUCAGCAGGGAAGAAAAUGACGGUAUCUGACUAAGAAGCCCCGGCUAACUACGUGCCAGCAGCCGCGGUAAUACGUAGGGGGCAAGCGUUAUCCGGAUUUACUGGGUGUAAAGGGGGCGCAGACGGCAUCGCAAGCCAGGAGUGAAAGCCCGGGGCCCAACCCCGGGACUGCUCUUGGAACUGCGCGGCUGGAGUGCAGGAGGGGCAGGCGGAAUUCCUGGUGUAGCGGUGAAAUGCGUAGAUAUCAGGAGGAACACCGGUGGCGAAGGCGGCCUGCUGGACUGCGACUGACGUUGAGGCCCGAAAGCGUGGGGAGCAAACAGGAUUAGAUACCCCAGUA
rnacentral:rRNA from 1 species